rnacentral:pre_miRNA from 1 species
AUCACCUGGCAAUCUUGUUAAAAUGCAGAUUCUGUUUCAACAGGCCUGGGAAAGGACCUAAGAGUCUGCAUUUCUAACAAACUCCUGGGUGAUGCUCU